rnacentral:rRNA from 1 species
CCUACGGGACGCAGCAGUGGGGGAUAUUGCACAAUGGGGGCAACCCUGAUGCAGCGACGCCGCGUGAGCGAUGGAGUACUUCGGUAUGUAAAGCUCUGUCAGCAGGGAAGAGAAUGACGGUACCUGACCAAGAAGCCCCGGCUAAAUACGUGCCAGCAGCCGCGGUAAUACGUAUGGGGCAAGCGUUAUCCGGAUUUACUGGGUGUAAAGGGAGCGUAGGCGGCAAGGUAAGCCAGAAGUGAAAGCCCGCGGCUCAACUGCGGGACUGCUUUUGGAACUAUCUAGCUAGAUUGCAGGAGAGGUAA